UAGUAAAAUUUUUUUUCUCAUGAGUCAAAGUUUAUUUCCCUUUUGGCUUUUGCUUUCAACUUUCAAGUUUCAACCUUUCAGUCUCUCAUCAUCUCACACAAGCAUCUUCUAGCUUUCUGUAAACCUCUUCAUCUUUCGAUUUUCAGAAAACCUCAUCACUCAGUGUCUCCAUCGAUAACAUCAGCAUCUAGUAGACUCCUUCUACCUUUCAAGAUCGAGCACUUCCUCUGUUCCAUUUCAGUCACGAAUCAUCUUUACUUUCAGUUCCAGGGCACUUCUAUUUGUCUAGCAUUCGUGUUUGAAGGCGUUGAGUAAAACAACAACAACACAAGACAUAUCAAGUUUAAUAUGACAAGAGUAAAACCAUCCAGAGCAAGUCGAGCUUCAUCGCAAGCAUCUACAACUAGCAUGAUGGCUUCUUCUACACAUACAUUCAUUAAGAGAAAGUUGGUGCAAAUUGAAGCACUUAUACCUACUUAACCGGUUAGAAUAAAUGAUGUGAAUGUUGAUAUGGCUAUAAUAAGAGAUUUUGAUGUUUCAUCUUCAACUGAAGAAGAUGAAGCAAUUGUAUGUAUUAAAGGACAAACAAAAGCACCAUCUUCUAUUAUUCCAUGUAAUAAGAGGAGGAAAACAUCAACUAUUUGGGAGUUUUUUCCAUAAGAAAUGUUUGUUACUAUUGGAGAUGCUACAUAUGCAAUAUGCAAACAUUGUAAGAAAAAGUUGAAAUUACAAAAGACCAAGGCUACUACCCAUUUGACAUGACAUAUGGGUCAAUGUGUUGAUAGGAAAAAAGCAAUGAGGAAGGAUUUAGUCGUGAGGGGACAAACUAUAUUGGGUUUUGAGCGUUCAAACUUAGGGUUACCUAUUCCAACCAUAGUGAAAACAAACAUGAAUUAUGAGCAUCCCAAGGUUCAAAAGGCUUUGGCUCACCUGGUUAUGAUUCUGAAUUAUCGUUUAAUAUAGUCAAACAUCCUAACUUCAUUAAUUUUUGUCACAUUCUUCAACCUUUUUACGAAAAAGUUAGAAGGAAACAAGUAAAAGUUGAUUGCAUUAAGGCUUAUCAAGUAGAGUCUAUGAUGUUGAAGUAAACUUUUGAGGAGAAAUUAGUAUUACUACUAAUCUUUGGAAGUUAAAUCAUCAAAAUAUUGAGUAUAUGGUAAUCAUGACACAUUGGGUAGACUAGUUGUGGUUCCUAAAUAAAUGAAUUAUAAAUUUUGUGCACCUACCUCCACCUAGGAAAGGAAUAGACAUUGUAGCAACAAUUUUUUAGUGUUUAAAGGGUUGAGGGAUUGAAAAUAAGAUAAAAUCAACUUUGCAAAAUGUUUUUAAGAAUACAUGUAUAAUUUUAUUGUAUGUAAUUUCAUUAAUAUUCAUUAAUUAUAUUUGUAAGUGGAAACUAUCAUAGUAGACAAUGCAACUACAAAUGAGAGUUGCAUUAAAAAAUUGAAGGAAUAUUUUCAAAUACAGAGACUUUUGUGGUAUGAUGGAAAACUUUUCCAUGUUAGGUGCACUACUCAUAUUGUAAAU